rnacentral:rRNA from 1 species
GGAUUAUUGGGGCGUAAGCGCGCGCAGGUGGUUUCUUAAGUCUGAUGUGAAAGCCCACGCCUCAACCGUGGAGGGUCAUUGGAAACUGGGAGACUUGAGUGCAGAAGAGGAAAGUGGAAUUCCAUGUGUAGCGGUGAAAUGCGUAGAGAUAUGGAGGAACACCAGUGGCGAAGGCGACUUUCUGGUCUGUAACUGACACUGAGGCGCGAAAGCGUGGGGAGCAAACAGGAUUAGAUACCCUGGUAGUCCACGCCGUAAACGAUGAGUGCUAAGUGUUAGAGGGUUUCCGCCCUUUAGUGCUGAAGUUAACGCAUUAAGCACUCCGCCUGGGGAGUACGGCCGCAAGGCUGAAACUCAAAGGAAUUGACGGGGGCCCGCACAAGCGGUGGAGCAUGUGGUUUAAUUCGAAGCUACGCGAAGAACCUUACCAGGUCUUGACAUCCUGGGGGGGCCCUAGAGAUACGGCUUCUCCUUCGGGAGCAGAGUGACAGGUGG